UUGUGUCACCCCACAAUGUCACUGUUGCUGAGCCCCCAUCGCCUCUGUGUUGUGGAGCAGUUAGAGACACACUGUGGUGUCUUGAGUGGCUCUGCGUGAAGGACCGUUUUCUAGGUGAGAGGCACAUCUCAACACAGCUGACUGAUCAGACUCAGCAAUUCCAUUCUGCAUCUUUUCUGGUCACCCCCGUGAUUACCCAGGACAACCCCAUCAGGCCCUCUCACCCAGGCCCAGUCCAGCUCCAUGAUAACCAAGACGCAGGUCCAGAGACAACCGCCCUGCAUGGUGCCUGCAUCUGACCCCCCUUGGUGGGUAGUGACCAGCACGACAUGGAAGAAGCCAGGGCAGCAUGCAGCCAGCUGCCCUGCAGCCCCAGAUGGCUCCUAGGCCUUGGGAAGUCAUUCUCAAAGGGGAAGCUGGUCAUUUUGAGGUCCCUGGAGGGAAGGGUGAAUGUGUCAUCCCAACAGCCCUGGAAGCCAGCAGCAUGCCAUACAUCUUACCCAACCUGUGUGACAGAGGCCCCCUCCUGGGGCACAAGUCCCAUACCUAAAGGGUCCUGUCCCAGUUGAACCUCAUCCUGAGCCCUG
rnacentral:lncRNA from 1 species